UUUGUUGUUGGCAAUUGAUUUAGUUUUGAUCUUAAUACUGGCCACUAGUUGAUUUUCUCCAGUGUUGGAUUGAUUAAAUUAUAUUGCAUGUGUCUAUGGCAUAUUUUCUUAAUGGCAUCUAUUUUGUAUAAUAUCUUCUCUUUGCAAAAUGCUACCCCAUUUUUGUUUUAACCUUUUCAAUGCUUUGGUAGAUGGAGCUGAUCUGGGAUGAACUUGGGCCAAAUAUGGAGGAUCUUUUCCAAAUGGGAAGGCCAGGAGUGGUUGCUUCACUUAUUGCUGCAUGUGAAAGGCUUCAUAUUAAUGAACGGAAGUGUUGUCAAGUGCUUGCUAAAACAGUGUGUUUAGCAGAUGAGAAUUCAAAAUGGAUUGUUCCACGACUACUAUUUCUUAAUAGCUCUUUCACUUGUGAAGAUAAAUCCAAUUGGAUCUGGCAAAGUGGAGCCAAAAUGAAUGUCAUGGGGUCUCUGAUUCUGCAAACAAUAUUCUGGUUUAAUAGUCCUUGAUGCUCUCAGGAACCAUGAUUCACCAGAGGAAAACGAUCAAGAUUGAUGUUUUGGUUGCAUGUGUCACAUUUAAAUGUAGAAGUUCAACGGCACACUAGGUUGAAGAAGUUCGACAUUAAGGAAAAUGAUCAACAUUAAUGUUUUGGUUGCAUGUGUCACAUUUAAAGGUGACAUCAUUGCUACGUUUCAUUGCCAAACUUCGUGAUGGUGAGAAAUAUGAGAUUAAUUUUGAUCGGGAUACUUUCCAACCUAUUGGCCAGUAUGCUGCGAAGUUCAAGAGUUAUUUGUCAUUCGUUGCACGUAGCAAGGUUAGUAUAAAUGAAGAGAAAUGGAAAAAGCUACCCGAAAACUUGAAGAAAGCGAUAACUUGAAGAAAGCAAUAUGCUAAGUUCACUUGCCCCCGUGAUGAUAAUGAUGAAGAUAAUAAGCAACUUAAGAAGCAUUGGUAUAGAGACAUAGAAAUGUUGCCAAAACAAAAAUCAAAGAAGAAGAAGAAAACUUAUAUAUAUGAAGAAAGUGUUAUGACUUAGUUAAAAUAUAAUUUUUAUGUGUAUGAUUUUAUAGUACUAGAAAUAUAUGACUAUACAUGAUUUUGUAUACUUUUUGGUUAAUAUUAAAAAUAUUUUGACUUAGUUAAAAUAUGAUUUUUAUGUGUAUGACUUUAUAGUAUUUGCAAUAUUAUGACUGAAAAUGAAAUAUAACUAAAUGGUGUAUAUGAAAUAGGGUGUAAAUAGAUUUAAAUAUAAUAU